GCGUCUCUGGCGAUUGUCGAUAUGUUUAGAGAAAUUGUCGCAAGGUUUUGUUAAAUAUUGUUUACAAGCUUUUGAGCCCUUGGGCCAAAAAUAAAACUCAUGGAGUUGCCAACAACGCCACAGCAGUUUCGACAUGUGCGCAGCUGUGUUGUGCGCUCAUGUGUGCGCUUCACGGGGAAAUGGCAGCCUCCCGUCGUCAAGUUUUGAGGCUUUACAAGGAAUUGAUGCGUGAAUCUGGGCAGUUCAAGAGCUACAUUUAUAGGUCUUAUGCAUUGAGACGUGUGAGAGAUGCCUUCAAGGAACACAAGGCGGUGCAAGAUAAAGACGAAAUCAAUGAGCUUCUGGAUGAUGGAUUGAAAAACUUGGAAAUAAUCAAGCGGCAGGUGGUCAUCGGCAAGCUCUACAGGGCUGCCGACUUGGUCAUAGAAAAGCAGUUCACAACACAGCAGCGAUGACUCUGUAAAGCCUCUAUUUUCUAUAGUUUUUUGUAUAUUGUGUACUGUUCCUUCAUCCUGGCAACAACCCAUCCUGGCAGGACUCUGAAAUAACCCUCCUAUUCUUCCAUCCUGCCUGGAUUAUCCUGGUCUCUUCUAAUCCCACAACUACUUCAUGUACUGUUAAAUUUUUCAAGCGCAGGCUGUCAUUGUGAUCUGGACGACAGGGCCUUGAGGUUGCUGCUUCCCUGCAUAAAAAAAUAAUUCGGCAACUUUUAGAAGUGGCAUAAGAUAUAGUAAAAGUUUUAAUGGUUUGUAGGACUUUGAACUAGGUUGUUGCACUUAUAUUAUCUGCAGUAGCUAUGCAAGUGUGCUGGAAAAGAGUUGCUGGUCCUAGAUGCCUUGGGUCUAGUUUGUACUCACUGUGGGUACUGAAGACAUUUAUCAAAUGAAAAAGACAACAAAGAGUACUUAUGACUAAAGCACAUAUUUUCUAGCAAUAUGAACUUUGUUUCAUUUCAUGCAGAGUCUUCCAAUAUAUGUUGAAUAGUGCUAACAUUCAGUCAGAGCAACUUAUAUGUAUAUUAAGUACAUUGCAUAUAUUUUUCGAAUGAAUUGGCAGGUUUUCACUCACAUUUUAUUUUCUUGUAAAGUACUGCAUUUCAUUGUAUAAUGUGUAAAAUAUGAGGAGAUUAUUAGUGUAUUUACUAACCUCGAUCAAAAGCAUGUAUAUUUUUAAAGCUUUCCUUGGGCUCAUGCCCUUUCAUAGAUGCAACAGUUUCACGGCAUGUUGUUGCGCCCACCUGUUAGGCACUGAGACAAGUCCAUUCCUAGAAGUAUUAUUGCUAAAUUACUUGGGCAUUAACUUUCGUUCAUAUUUUUUCUAUGGUACAGACCUUCAUUUAAAAUGCAGUGGCAAGGGGAACAUGCCAUGUCAGUACUCCUUUAACUUCCUAUUUGUCCUGUAAAGAAGGUGUACACCACACCACGAGCCAACAGAAAUGUGCACAACUCUUGCAUUUAACAUGCAUGAUUUAUGUCUGACCAGAAUAUUGCCCAACACAUUUUAGUGGAUUCUUGUGGCAUGCAGACUGGUUCUCACCACUCUUUACAACAGUGAUAGGUGCUGAAUUUGCCAAUAAUGUGUAAUCCAUUGCAACAGCAGGCAGAAUGAGCUCCAUGCCCCAUGGUAGAGGGUUAACCAUGACCGAUUUGCUGUGGUACAGUUCAAAAUUAAGAGGCUAUAAAGUGUCGCCCUGUGCAGUGCAACUACAAGGCCUUGAAGCAAACUCCUCAUCUCUGCCGUGGCACGCCACAUUUCAGCAUCUCCUGAUAACAGGAAGCUGGGGCUCUUAUCUAUGUAUAUGGGAACAAAGAAAAUGUUUUUCUUAACAAAUGCUGCACCAAAUCUAAUUAGCUUUGUUAUAUUCAAAAUAUUAAAAAAAAAACAGUCUUGUGACUUUAAAACCCAGUUUUUUAUUAUGCUGUCAAUUGUAAAAAAUAA